GAUUGAUUAUAGCCUUUGUAAAUUAAAUUGUAUUUAACUAUGUAUAGUUUUUGCUAGGUCUUGUGGGUCAAUGGUAUUAUUUAGAGAUAAUUGUUAGGCUGUGCAAGUUUUCAAAAUUCAAAUUCUUGUCAUGAAUAUGAAUCUUGUGAUAAAUUUUCUGAAUAUAUUUGGUGCAGGGCUCUAGCACUAAUUUAUAUUUAGUUUAAAUCCAGGCAGACAAGAACCCUGCCA
rnacentral:misc_RNA from 1 species